rnacentral:rRNA from 1 species
GACGAACGCUGGCGGCGUGCUUAACACAUGCAAGUCGAACGGAAAGGCCCUGCUUUUGUGGGGUGCUCGAGUGGCGAACGGGUGAGUAACACGUGAGUAACCUGCCCUUGACUUUGGGAUAACUUCAGGAAACUGGGGCUAAUACCGGAUAGGAGCUCCUGCUGCAUGGUGGGGGUUGGAAAGUUUCGGCGGUUGGGGAUGGACUCGCGGCUUAUCAGCUUGUUGGUGGGGUAGUGGCUUACCAAGGCUUUGACGGGUAGCCGGCCUGAGAGGGUGACCGGCCACAUUGGGACUGAGAUACGGCCCAGACUCCUACGGGAGGCAGCAGUGGGGAAUAUUGCACAAUGAGCGGAAGCCUGAUGCAGCAACGCCGCGUGCGGGAUGACGGCCUUCGGGUUGUAAACCGCUUUCGCCUGUGACGAAGCGUGAGUGAUGGUAAUGGGUAAAGAAGCACCGGCUAACUACGUG